rnacentral:lncRNA from 1 species
AUCGCGUACUGAGUAACAGCGUUACUUCAGAAGCACCUGCAUCGGCCAGCAAGGAUAGCCAAGAAUCUAUAUCUGUCAACUGCCAAGUGCAGCCUGAUCUGACUAUUACGGAGAAGACCACAGAAAUUCAGCAGAAAGAAGAGAAGACCUCAGUAAUUCAGCAGAAAGAAGAGAAGACCACAGAAAUUCAGCAGAAAGAAGAGAAGACCGCGGAAAUUCUGCAGAAAGAAGAGAAGACCACAGAAAUUCUGCCGAAAGAAGAGAAGCCCACAGAAAUUCUGCCAAAAGAAGAGAAGCCCGCAGAAAUUCUGCAGAAAGAAGAGAAGACCACGGAAAUUCUGCAGAAAGAAGAGGAGACCAUAGAACUUCAGCAGAAAGAAGAGAAGCUUGAGUUGUCUUCUCUUCUGGACUCGAAGUUGUCCAUAGAGGAUGACACGGGAGCAGAUGCACCUCUUGAUGAGCACAGUAUUAUUUUAAUCCAGACUGCUGUUAGGGG